AUCACCAUUGGUCUACCCUGGCCUCCAAUUGGGAGGCCUGGAGACACACCAUCUAUAACGCUGCUGCUGCUUUUGAGAACACACGCAGGAUCACUCUCGAGGAGAAAAGACAACGCAGAAAGAAUCACGUCUCGUCUGUAUCACCUGGGGAGUCUUUCUGCUGUGCCUUCUGCAACCGGACUUGUCUAUCUCGCAUUGGCCUUUUUAGCCAUCAGUGCACUUGCAGCAAGCGUGGGUAGAGCCCUUCUCAAAUCUUCGUUCGUGAAGUCUAGCCAUGACAAUUUCCAGUACAAGAGAAUCAUGAGAAAGCAGGAUUAGAUAGACAGGGUUGUCUAUGGAUUCCUCCAGUUUGACUUCAGGGCUAGAGCUCAGAUUGAAACCUCAAUUGCUAAUCUCAUCAAACAGAUAUUUCCUUCUGGAAUUUAUGCCUCCCUACCAUGUCUGCAUCCCAGCAGCCAGUCUCUCUGCCACGGGUUUGAAUUAGAGGAGGAUAGUAUUAUACAGCCAAGAAGGCAUUUCUUGAAGAUUCAUUCUCUUUCUUCAAGGAGAUAUCACAUCUAGAUCUUCUCAUGCAAAGCUUUCAGAACGGAUCUCCUUCCCAGUGAAGGUGUGAAAAGGCUUAUUCAGG